GAGCCCAAGUGAUCCGCCCGCCUUGGCCUCCCAAAGUGCUGAGAUUACAGGUGUGAACCACUAUGCCCAGCCCUUCCCCAAUUUUUUAAACUCCAGAUUUAUCAAAAUUAGAAACCUGUGUUAUAAACUCAGACAUAAACACAAAGGACCCCUCUUCUCUCACUGACAAGCCCAUCAUGGGAUCCACCAGGAACUCAGUUGACCAUCAUUAUGGAAUAUGACUAGAGUCAACCCCAUCUGCCACCUCCGCUGCACACCAGCCCCAGCCCUGGUCAUAGGGCCUGUCUGACUGCAACAUCCUCCUGGCUCUCCUGGCUCCCAUCCUGCCGCUGGCAACUGAUCUCCACGUGGUGACCAGUCACGUCCAAUGAUGGCACAGUAGCGUUUUUUACAGUACAAUCCAAAGUCCUUGAGGCCCGUGAAGCCAGAACUUUGUUGGUCACUGGUGCAGACACUGGCAGGUGGGCCACAGGGACAGCUCACUACACUCCAAGGCCCCACACGGGAGAUCCUCUAGAAAAGCCAUGAGCAACUACAAAUACCACGUUUGAUGACCCCGCCAACCUGCGGACACACCCCACACCCCCCUCUGAUAGCCACUAGCUGGUCAGUUCACCCAAAAGAUGUCAAAACAAUACUCGCUAUUACCAGACCAUCAUUACUUAAUGCUGUGUUUUCCUGAUCCCCAGCUACGUGUGUGCUGAUGUGUGUGUACAAAUGUGUGUGCAUCUGUGUACAGAUGUAUCUGUACAUGGAUGUGUGUAGAUGUUUAUGUAUACAGAUAUAUGGAAAUACACAGAUACAUGUGUAUGAAUGUGUGGAUAUGGAUGUGUGUGUACAGUGAUGUGUACAUGGAUGUGUCUAUAUGUAGACAUGUGUAUGAAUGUGUGGGUAUACAUAUGUGUGGAUGUGUGUAAAGACAUGUAUAUAUAUGGAUGUGUGUAUAUGAAUGUAUGUGUACAAAUAUGUCUACAUGUGGAUGUAGAUGCUCACAGCUCUUCCUGCUGACAGGCACAUCCUAGCACCAGCUUUCUCCAGUGUGUAUCAGAGGCUGCGUGGUGGUGUCAGAGCUUCCUCAGGGUGCACGUGAACAGGGUGAGCACAGAACUUCUCUCCCAAACCACAACACUUUGUAGUUAAAGAGAACACUAGUUACAAAUGCGUCAGGUCAGCAGGUGUAAACUGGGGCUCUUCAGGCAACCCAGGACCCAACCCCCACACACCGGUGUAGGGGGUGCCAAACAGAACACUUCCCACAUCAACCUUAAAUCCCACAAACUUUAAGGUUGAAUCCAAGCCUCAAACCCCUGGGCCGGGGAUUCGAGGUUGAACUCAAGCUCUGGCAAUUUGUAUUCAUGAGCUCAUCUGCUGCGGUUUCCUCAUCUUGUAUGGGGUUGCAAAGGGGACUUGAAGAAGAGACCUGCUGUCUGCUGGAACAGGCUCCAGAAAGUUAGAGUGCAGGCUGUUACUGUAAUUGUGAUGAGUCUGGGGCAGAUGGAACUAGAAUUUCUCCAAAGGCAAAUGAACAUUUCCAGGCUUCAGACAGCUCUAUAGGGAGCGGCAGGAAGGUCCGAGGGGAGGUACAGGCAAUCUGUGCUUGCAUAUUUAACAAAUAACAAGAUGUUCAAGGGCCCCUGGGAGUUCUGGAAAUGAGGCAGAAGUCUCAGCCAUCAGACAGGUGGGGCUUUAGGAGGAAGACGGCUUUCCCCUGACAUGGGUCUUCUCCCCACCCAGGCUGAUGGCACAGGUGGAAAUGGAGAGAGUAUUUAUGCAACAAGACAACCAGCCCUGGCUUCAGAUGCUCCACUUCAGCACUCUGAGAAGACACUGCAAACUGAGGCACAAUCAGGUGAUCCACUGCUGAACGUGCCCAGUGUCCAUGGCUGGUGGGAUCAAGUCUAAAGCUGCUAUUUGUACCCUGGCUGGAGUGCAGUGGUGUGAUCUCGACUCACUGCAACCUACACCUUCCAGAUUCAAGCAAUUUGCCUGCCUCAGCCUCCUGAGAACCUGGGCCUACAGACGUGCACCACCACGCCCAGGUGGAUAUAUUAACUCCAUGUGCUGAUUGUGUGCAUAGAUCAUCUCUGAAAGGAAUCACCA